rnacentral:rRNA from 1 species
GAUGAACGCUGGCGGCGUGCUUAACACAUGCAAGUCGAGCGAAGCGAUAAGGUGAAAUUUUUCGGAAUGAAGCCAUAUUGACUUAGCGGCGGACGGGUGAGUAACGCGUGGGUAACCUGCCUCAUACAGGGGGAUAACAGUUAGAAAUGACUGCUAAUACCGCAUAAGCGCACGGGACUGCAUGGUCCAGUGUGAAAAACCGAGGUGGUAUGAGAUGGACCCGCGUCUGAUUAGCUGGUUGGCGGGGUAACGGCCCACCAAGGCGACGAUCAGUAGCCGACCUGAGAGGGUGGCCGGCCACAUUGGGACUGAGACACGGCCCAAACUCCUACGGGAGGCAGCAGUGGGGAAUAUUGCACAAUGGGGGAAACCCUGAUGCAGCAACGCCGCGUGAGUGAAGAAGUAUUUCGGUAUGUAAAGCUCUAUCAGCAGGGAAGAGAAUGAC